rnacentral:misc_RNA from 1 species
AGCAGCCGCGGUAAUUCCAGCUCCAAUAGCGUAUAUUAAAGUUGUUGCAGUUAAAAAACUCGUAGUUGAAUUUCGGGAUCAAUAUGUCGGUCGUGCCUUCGGUACGUACUGGUAUCAUUGGUCUCUCCUUUCUGACGAACCAUGAUGUCAUUAAUUUGGUGUUAUGGGGAGUUAGGACUGUUACUUUGAAAAAAUUAGAGUGUUUAAAGCAGGCUUUAGCUUGAAUACAUUAGCAUGGAAUAAUGAAAUAGGACGUUCGAACCUAUUUUGUUGGUUUCUAGGAUCAACGUAAUGAUUAAUAGGGAUAGUUGGGGGCAUUAGUAUUCAAUUGUCAGAGGUGAAAUUCUUGGAUUUAUUGAAGACUAACUACUGCGAAAGCAUUUGCCAAGGAUGUUUUCAUUAAUCAAGAACGAAAGUUAGGGGAUCGAAGACGAUCAGAUACCGUCGUAGUCUUAACCAUAAACUAUGCCGACU